UGCCCGGUGGCUGAGGUUAGGCGGUAGACUGUAGAUCUAUUCACGGAAUUAAGUUUCCCCAGCAA
rnacentral:tRNA from 1 species